CCUACGGGAGGCAGCAGUGAGGAAUAUUGGUCAAUGGGCGCGAGCCUGAACCAGCCAAGUCGCGUGAAGGAUGACUGCCCUACGGGUUGUAAACUUCUUUUAUAAAGGAAUAAAGUGAGGCACGUGUGCCUUUUUGUAUGUACUUUAUGAAUAAGGAUCGGCUAACUCCGUGCCAGCAGCCGCGGUAAUACGGAGGAUCCGAGCGUUAUCCGGAUUUAUUGGGUUUAAAGGGAGCGUAGAUGGGUUGUUAAGUCAGUUGUGAAAGUUUGGGGCUCAACCGUAAAAUUGCAAUUGAUACUGGCAGCCUUGAGUGCAGGUGAGGUAGGCGGAAUGCGUGGGGUAGCGGUGAAAUGCUUAGAUAUCACGAAGAACUCCGAUUGCGAAGGCAGCUUACUAAACUGCCACUGACAUUGAUGCUCGAAAGUGUGGGUAUCAAACAGGAUUAGAUACCCGAGUAGUC
rnacentral:rRNA from 1 species